UACGUAGGGUGCGAGCGUUAUCCGGAAUUAUUGGGCGUAAAGAGCUCGUAGGCGGUUUGUCGCGUCUGCCGUGAAAGUCCGGGGCUUAACCCCGGAUCUGCGGUGGGUACGGGCAGACUAGAGUGCAGUAGGGGAGACUGGAAUUCCUGGUGUAGCGGUGAAAUGCGCAGAUAUCAGGAGGAACACCGAUGGCGAAGGCAGGUCUCUGGGCUGUAACUGACGCUGAGGAGCGAAAGCAUGGGGAGCGAACAGG
rnacentral:rRNA from 1 species